rnacentral:rRNA from 1 species
GACGAACGCUGGCGGCGUGCUUAACACAUGCAAGUCGAACAGAAAGACCCUGCUUUUGUGGGGUGCUCGAGUGGCGAACGGGUGAGUAACACGUGAGUAACCUGCCCUUGACUUUGGGAUAACUUCAGGAAACUGGGGCUAAUACCGGAUAGGAGCUCCUGCUGCAUGGUGGGGGUUGGAAAGUUUCGGCGGUUGGGGAUGGACUCGCGGCUUAUCAGCUUGUUGGUGGGGUAGUGGCUUACCAAGGCUUUGACGGGUAGCCGGCCUGAGAGGGUGACCGGCCACAUUGGGACUGAGAUACGGCCCAGACUCCUACGGGAGGCAGCAGUGGGGAAUAUUGCACAAUGGGCGGAAGCCUGAUGCAGCAACGCCGCGUGCGGGAUGACGGCCUUCGGGUUGUAAACCGCUUUCGCCUGUGACGAAGCGUGAGUGACGGUAAUGGGUAAAGAAGCACCGGCUAACUACGUG